AGUGAACGCUAGCGGCAGGCCUAAUACAUGCAAGUCGAACGGGAUUUCGGGUAGCAAUAUCUGAAUGAGAGUGGCGCACGGGUGCGUAACGCGUAUGCAACUUACCUUUAACUGGGGGAUAGCCUUCCGAAAGGAAGAUUAACACCGCAUAAUGCAUAGAUAGGGCAUUCUAUUUAUGCCAAAACUCAGGUGGUUAAAGAUAGGCAUGCGUCCGAUUAGCUAGUUGGUGAGGUAAUGGCUCACCAAGGCUACGAUCGGUAGGGGGUCUGAGAGGAUGAUCCCCAACACUGGUACUGAGACACGGACCAGACUCCUAGGGGAGGCAGCAGUAAGGAAUAUUGGACAAUGGGCGCAAGCCUGAUCCAGCCAUGCCGCGUGCAGGAUUAAGGCCCUAUGGGUUGUAAACUGCUUUUGGCGGGGGAAAAACCCCUCGAUGCGUCGAGGGCUGAUGGUACCCGCAGAAUAAGGAUCGGCUAACUCCGUGCCAGCAGCCGCAGUAA
rnacentral:rRNA from 1 species